CCAGAGAACUUUCCAGAGAUGGAUUGGUGCCUUCGGGAACUCUGAGACAGGUGCUGCAUGGCUGUCGUCAGCUCGUGUUGUGAAAUGUUGGGUUAAGUCCCGCAACGAGCGCAACCCUUAUCCUUUGUUGCCAGCGGUUAGGCCGGGAACUCAAAGGAGACUGCCAGUGAUAAACUGGAGGAAGGUGGGGAUGACGUCAAGUCAUCAUGGCCCUUACGAGUAGGGCUACACACGUGCUACAAUGGCGCAUACAAAGAGAAGCGACCUCGCGAGAGCAAGCGGACCUCAUAAAGUGCGUCGUAGUCCGGAUUGGAGUCUGCAACUCGACUCCAUGAAGUCGGAAUCGCUAGUAAUCGUGGAUCAGAAUGCCACGGUGAAUACGUUCCCGGGCCUUGUACACACCGCCCGUCACACCAUGGGAGGUGGGUUGACAAAAGAAGUAGGUAGCUUAACCUUCGGGAGGGCGCUUACCACUUUGUGAUUCAUGACUGGGGUGAAGUCGUAACAAGGUAGGCGUAGUGCU
rnacentral:rRNA from 1 species